rnacentral:lncRNA from 1 species
AUGUCUGGAAACCAGCUCCAGGAUCCUUCAUAUUCUCUCUUCGUAACAACGAAAAUCUGCCGCCUUUUAAAGCUCCACUGAAAGAUCAAAAUACCCGGUACGCAAUUCGUACAAGAAAUAAUGAUGGACCAACAUUUGGAAAUGGUUAUGAUAUACACAUAUCUUAUGAUGCGGUUUCGAAUACCAAUUCAUACACAAAUUUUAAUUACGACUACCAAGCUCCAUCUGGUGUCAGCAACACAA